AUGGUCAAGUAGGUUCUUCUGCGGAAGGGAUUAUGCAGUUGGCGAUGGUGACUUUGCUGCCGGUAAGCUGGAAAUCUUAUGGUUAGAAGGAAAACACAUUGCUGGUCUCUUCUUCUAACGUUAGUUCUUCCCCUUUCUUAUCGAAGUCUCUCUCUUUCCCUCAGUUUUCUGAUAAACAAAUCGGGAACAACAGUUGGAAAGGUGGGAAGAGUGAGUGCAGUAACGGACUCGACUCCUUGGCCUUAAUCGAAGACCUGCAUGAGUUUUGAGGCCUCCAUUGUUCGAGAAGAUGUUUCUGGAGGUGGAUUGUGCGUCGUGGCUGUCAUCCACCACCUCCUUGUCGGCAGAUAUUGGUCGUCGGAUCAUUUCUCCGGUCUCAGAUCGGUGACCAUGGACUGGUAACUGGGUGGAUUUUGGAAUUUUUUCUUCGAAGAGCUCCAUGGGGGAAGAGGCUCAGCGUCACCAUCCACGUAGGGGAUGCUGUUUUUGUUUGUCGUCCGAGUGUUGGCAAUGGGGAGAUCCUUUGCUUUCAUUCUUGCUUCUGUUCUCUUCGGUUUGCCUAACGUUCUGAUACUCUUGUCGGAGCUUUGGUAAUUGGUGGAAUUCGUAUGAAGCCAUAGAAGAUGUUUGGUAAAAUGCCCAGAUGACCUCAAAUUUAUGGAGAUUUCCAUUAACAACCUUACAUUUGGAGCAGCACAUUUAGGGUAGUUCUCAGAAGUUUUAUUGCGAAUAGAAUGUCAAAGGAGAGAAUUCUCUUUGCCAAGUUGAAGGAAGGGCAAUCACGAAAGACAUGGGAAGCGGAUUACAGGCUGUGCAGGACGAGGAAGCAAUUGAGCAGAAGCUGUGUGAAGAUCGCUUGGUCCAAUCGAUGUAUAUCUCUGCUUCAUGGGUAUGCGAAUGGUUAUUGUUUUCGAAGGCUCAACCCAUGGCUCUCAAAUUCUCAAUGCAUUGUCUCAAAUUUUUGAGUCCAUGGCUUGGUGAUGGAGAUGCAAGAAGGGCUACCCGCAAUGCCACUAGGAGGGCUAGGCGUGCCAAGGCUAGGAGGGUGGCUUUGGGGUGCUUGCAUGGCUCGGAGGGUGAGGCUUUGGGCGCACAAGGCAAGGCCACAGAGGACCAACCACUUGCCACCUAGAGGUUGAUCGAGUUGUUGGCAAAUACCUUGAAUUUAGGGGAUGAGGCAAAUCCCUUGAUUUUAGGGGAUUGGGCGAUUUGAAGGAUGCUGACCGAGUUGUGCUUCUUCAAAUUAGAAAGUUUAUUCAUUUGUUAUUUAGUUAAUUUGUUUCCUCUAUUUUAGGAGACGUUGGGAUUGUUUUCUUAAUUUUAGAAGUUUGAUUUGUUUUGGGAUUGUGAUUUCAAAAGAAGUUGUUAGA